CUCAAACUCAAACACAAGGAGGUUUUCAGUGCAACACCGUAUACCUCUUUCCAAUCAAUUUCACGCUAGCGUGAAUUAGCAACCAGUGGCUACCAGAGGUCAAUGACUAAUCUCUGCUCCUGAUUGAAUGGGACUUUCACAGUUAAUCUCUUUCAGUAAGCCUGUAGCAAAUGGCAAAAAGCUAGUUACAGUUCAUCAGCCUGUGCUCACCUGUACUCCAGUGAAAAGCGUGUUAAUUCUGUGCUAUUGUGGAUCCAUUUAAACUCUAGUGGCCAGCUUCCCUCCGCCAUGCAGAUCAUUGACGCACUCCCCUUCAGCAUAAUGUGUCCAUGACCUCCAUAGGCAGAGUUCUUUCUGGAUCAUUAUUAUUAUUUCAAAUGACGAUGAAAUACACAUUGAAAUAAAGGUAAAGCAGGUACUUGUGUCCAUUUUCAAGGAAAAUUAUCCUCUUAUAAGGUUCGUGAAAGCACAUCAUUUGAAUAGAUGCAAGUCCCUGUCAAUAUAGCUCAGCGGCUUUACAGAUGACAUUUCUUUUUUUUUCAGAUUUUUUGUGGCCAGUGCAAAACGGAGCAGUGAAUUUCCACAGAUAACGAAGUACUUUCCAGCUCCCAGAAGGCU
rnacentral:lncRNA from 1 species